GACAGCCUACGGGGCGCAGCAGUGAGGAAUAUUGGUCAAUGGGCGAGAGCCUGAACCAGCCAAGUCGCAUGAAGGAUGACGGCCCUACGGGUUGUAAACUUCUUUUGUCAGGGAGCAAUUGAGUCCACGUGUGGGCUUAGCGAGAGUACCUGAGGAAAAAGCAUCGGCUAACUCCGUGCCAGCAGCCGCGGUAAUACGGAGGACGCGAGCGUUAUCCGGAUUUAUUGGGUUUAAAGGGUGCGUAGGCGGAAUAUCAAGUCAGCGGUAAAAAUUCGGGGCUCAACCCCGUCGUGCCGUUGAAACUG
rnacentral:rRNA from 1 species